GGGACGAGUGCAUUUAUUAGAGCAAAACCAAGCGGCCGCAAGGUCGUGUUUUGCUGACUCAAAAUAACUACUAGCUGAUCGCAUGGUCUAGCACCGGCGACGUGUCUUUCGAGUAUCUGCCUUAUCAAUUUUCGAUGGUAGUGUAUCUGACUACCAUGGUGUUGACGGGUAACGGAGAAUCAGGGUUCGACUCCGGAGAAGGGGCCUGAGAAAUGGCCACUACGUUUAAGGAUGGCAGCAGGCGCGCAAAUUACCCACUCUCGGAAAGAGGAGGUAGUGACGAGAAAUAAUGAGACCGUUCUCUAUGAGGCCGGUUAUCGUAAUGGGUACAAUCUAAACCCUUUAACGAGUAUCUAUGAGAGGGCAAGUCUGGUGCCAGCAGCCGCGGUAAUACCAGCUCUCAAAAUGCAUAGAACCAUUGCUGCGGUUAAAAAGCUCGUAGUUGAAUCUAUGCCGAAGGCAUGGUCCACUCUUGUAGUGCGCACUAUGUUCUUCGGCUUAGCGUCGGUUUUCUUGUCGUUGUCUUGAUUGAUCGCGGCAAGUGGCUGGCAAUUUUACUUUGAACAAAUCAAAGUGCUUAAAACAGGCGUUUCGCUUGAAUGAUUUUGCAUAGAAUAAUAGAAUAUGACUAUGGUCUAGUUUUAUUGGUUUUAUAGAUCGUUGUAAUGAUUAAAAGAGACAAACGGGGGCAUUCGUAUUGUUGCGUGAGAGGUGAAAUUCUGUGACCGUAGCAAGACGACCUACAGCGAAAGCAUUUGCCAAGCUUGUCUUCAUUAAUCAAGAACGAAAGUCAGAGGAUCGAAGGUGAUUAGAUACCGC
rnacentral:rRNA from 1 species